rnacentral:rRNA from 1 species
CUUGGCGGCCAUAGCAGAGUGGAACCACGCCUUCCCAUUUCGAACAGGGCCGUGAAACGCUUUAGCGCCGAUGGUAGUGCUGCAUAGGCAGUGUGAGAGUAGGACGUCGCCAAGC